rnacentral:rRNA from 1 species
UACGGGGGGGGGCAAGCGUUGUUCGGAAUUACUGGGCGUAAAGGGCGCGUAGGCGGAAUGGCAAGUCGGUCGUGAAAUCCUUCGGCUCAACCGAAGAACGUCGAUCGAAACUGCCGUUCUUGAGGAUUGCAGAGGAGACUGGAAUUCCCGGUGUAGCGGUGAAAUGCGCAGAUAUCGAGGAGGAACACCGGUGGCGAAGGCGGAUCUCUGGGCCUUACCUGACGCUCAGGCGCGAAAGCUAGGGGAGCGAACAGG